rnacentral:rRNA from 1 species
UGGGGAAUUUUGCACAAUGGAGGGAACUCUCAUGCAGCGACGUCGCGUGAGUGAUGAAGGAAUUCGUUUCGUAUAACUCUGUUCUAUGGGAAGAAAAGUACUGUACCAUAGGAGAAAGCUCCGGCUAAAUACGUGCCAGCAGCCGCGGUAAUACGUAUGGAGCGAGCGUUGUCCGGAAUUAUUGGGCGUAAAGGGUGUGCAGGCGGCUUUACAAGUUGGAUGUGAAAUAUUGUGGCUCAACCACAAACGUGCAUCCAAAACUGCGAAGCUUGAGUUAAGGCGAGGUAAGUGGAAUUCCUGGUGUCGCGGUGGAAUGCGUAGAUAUCAGGAGGAAUACCGGUGGCGAAGGCGGCUUACUGGACUUAAACUGGCGCUCAGGCACGAAAGCGUGGGGAGCAAACAGG